GACGAACGCUGGCGGCGUGCCUAAUACAUGCAAGUAGGACGCAGUUGCGAACGGGUGAGUAACGCGUAGGUAACUACCUAUUAGAGGGGGAUAACUCUUGGAAACGAUAGCUAAUACCGCAUACUAGUAGAUGGACCUGCGUUGUAUUAGCUAGUAGGUAGGGUAAUGGCCUACCUAGGCAACGAUACAUAGCCGACCUGAGAGGGUAAUCGGCCACAUUGGAACUGAGACACGGCCCAAACUCCUACGGGAGGCAGCAGUAGGGAAUCUUCCGCAAUGGGCGCAAGCCUGACGGAGCAACGCCGGGUGAGUGAAGAAGGUUUUCGGAUCGUAAAGCCCUGUUGUAAGAGAAGCGGUAUCUUACCAGAAAGCAACGGCUAACUACGUGCCAGCAGCCGCGGUAAUAC
rnacentral:rRNA from 1 species